CAGGAUUCAGCCAUUUCCCCGGGGAACCAAUGAGACGGUGCGGUCAAGGACCAGAGUAGAAAAAAUCAAAGUGGAUGAGAACUUAUAAAAAGGAAUUGAAACCUUUUAAAAGAAAACAAACAGAAGGAUAUGCAGAGUGGAAGGUGCAACACACAGCCAGAAACAGUAUUAGGGUGAACCGUCACUUUAAGGAUGAUUUACUGACUAGAAGACAAGGACAUUGGAGCAUGGCAUUAACUCUCACAGGCAUUGCCUUAUAGCCACAUAUGUUUACAUAGGAAGCCAAUAACAUUUGUUUAAGCAUCUGCCUCACUCUCUCUCUCUCAAACUCUCUACCCAGUUGGAGUCAUUGCUUUUGAACUUAAUUGACAUUAAUUGAAAUGUAUUUGCCUUGAAAAUAACAGGAUUAAUGCCAUCUGCAAUCUGAAAAUGAAGCAUAAUGUAAAUGAAUGAGCAGAUUAGUCAGUGUAGUGUUUAUAUGUAUUCUAACAAUUUUACCUCAUUGGACAAUUUACCAUCAAACAAUA